UUUUCUUGUGUUUUAGGUCAGGUGAUGGUCUAGUUUACUAGACCAUCACCUGACCUAAAACACAAGAA
rnacentral:pre_miRNA from 1 species